GGCGGAGCGUCGUUUGCGACGCCCAACACACAAAACAAGCGGUGAGUGCUUUGGGGUGGGGUGACUGCGUACCUUUUGUAUAAUGGGUCAGCGACUUAUAUUCUGUAGCAAGGUUAACCGUAUAGGGGAGCCGUAGGGAAACCGAGUCUUAACCGGGCGUUAAGUUGCAGGGUAUAGACCCGAAACCCGGUGAUCUAGCCAUGGGCAGGUUGAAGGUUGGGUAACACUAACUGGAGGACCGAACCGACUAAUGUUGAAAAAUUAGCGGAUGACCUGUGGCUGGGGGUGAAAGGCCAAUCAAACCGGGAGAUAGCUGGUUCUCCCCGAAAGCUAUUUAGGUAGCGCCUCGUGAAUUCAUCUCCGGGGGUAGAGCACUGUUUCGGCUAGGGGGCCAUCCCGGCUUACCAACCCGAUGCAAACUGCGAAUACCGGAGAAUGUUAUCACGGGAGACACACGGCGGGUGCUAACGUCCGUCGUGAAGAGGGAAACAACCCAGACCGCCAGCUAAGGUCCCAAAGUCAUGGUUAAGUGGGAAACGAUGUGGGAAGGCCCAGACAGCCAGGAUGUUGGCUUAGAAGCAGCCAUCAUUUAAAGAAAGCGUAAUAGCUCACUGGUCGAGUCGGCCUGCGCGGAAGAUGUAACGGGGCUAAACCAUGCACCGAAGCUGCGGCAGCGACGCUGAUGCGUUGUUGGGUAGGGGAGCGUUCUGUAAGCCUGUGAAGGUGGCCUGUGAGGGUUGCUGGAGGUAUCAGAAGUGCGAAUGCUGACAUAAGUAACGAUAAAGCGGGUGAAAAGCCCGCUCGCCGGAAGACCAAGGGUUCCUGUCCAACGUUAAUCGGGGCAGGGUGAGUCGACCCCUAAGGCGAGGCCGAAAGGCGUAGUCGAUGGGAAACGGGUUAAUAUUCCCGUACUUGGUGUUACUGCGAAGGGGGGACGGAGAAGGCUAUGUUGGCCGGGCGACGGUUGUCCCGGUUUAAGCGUGUAGGUGUGUGUUCCAGGUAAAUCCGGUUCACUUUAACACUGAGGCGUGAUGACGAGGCACUACGGUGCUGAAGCAACAAAUGCCCUGCUUCCAGGAAAAGCCUCUAAGCAUCAGGUAACAUCAAAUCGUACCCCAAACCGACACAGGUGGUCAGGUAGAGAAUACCAAGGCGCUUGAGAGAACUCGGGUGAAGGAACUAGGCAAAAUGGUGCCGUAACUUCGGGAGAAGGCACGCUGACACGUAGGUGAAGUGAUUUACUCAUGGAGCUGAAGUCAGUCGAAGAUACCAGCUGGCUGCAACUGUUUAUUAAAAACACAGCACUGUGCAAACACGAAAGUGGACGUAUACGGUGUGACGCCUGCCCGGUGCCGGAAGGUUAAUUGAUGGGGUCAGCGCAAGCGAAGCUCCUGAUCGAAGCCCCGGUAAACGGCGGCCGUAACUAUAACGGUCCUAAGGUAGCGAAAUUCCUUGUCGGGUAAGUUCCGACCUGCACGAAUGGCGUAAUGAUGGCCAGGCUGUCUCCACCCGAGACUCAGUGAAAUUGAACUCGCUGUGAAGAUGCAGUGUACCCGCGGCAAGACGGAAAGACCCCGUGAACCUUUACUAUAGCUUGACACUGAACAUUGAGCCUUGAUGUGUAGGAUAGGUGGGAGGCUUUGAAGCGUGGACGCCAGUCUGCAUGGAGCCGGCCUUGAAAUACCACCCUUUAAUGUUUGAUGUUCUAACGUGGACCCGUGAUCCGGGUUGCGGACAGUGUCUGGUGGGUAGUUUGACUGGGGCGGUCUCCUCCUAAAGAGUAACGGAGGAGCACGAAGGUUGGCUAAUCCUGGUCGGACAUCAGGAGGUUAGUGCAAUGGCAUAAGCCAGCUUGACUGCGAGCGUGACGGCGCGAGCAGGUGCGAAAGCAGGUCAUAGUGAUCCGGUGGUUCUGAAUGGAAGGGCCAUCGCUCAACGGAUAAAAGGUACUCCGGGGAUAACAGGCUGAUACCGCCCAAGAGUUCAUAUCGACGGCGGUGUUUGGCACCUCGAUGUCGGCUCAUCACAUCCUGGGGCUGAAGUAGGUCCCAAGGGUAUGGCUGUUCGCCAUUUAAAGUGGUACGCGAGCUGGGUUUAGAACGUCGUGAGACAGUUCGGUCCCUAUCUGCCGUGGGCGCUGGAGAACUGAGGGGGGCUGCUCCUAGUACGAGAGGACCGGAGUGGACGCAUCACUGGUGUUCGGGUUGUCAUGCCAAUGGCACUGCCCGGUAGCUAAAUGCGGAAGAGAUAAGUGCUGAAAGCAUCUAAGCACGAAACUUGCCCCGAGAUGAGUUCUCCCUGAGACUUAGAGUCUCCUGAAGGAACGUUGAAGACGACGACGUUGAUAGGCCGGGUGUGUAAGCGCAGCGAUGCGUUGAGCUAACCGGUACUAAUGAACCGUGAGGCUUAACCUU
rnacentral:rRNA from 1 species